rnacentral:rRNA from 1 species
UACGUAGGGAGCAAGCGUUGUCCGGAAUCAUUGGGCGUAAAGCGCGCGUAGGUGGCUUCGUAAGUCCGUUGUGAAAGUCAAAGGCUCAACCUUUGAAAGCCGAUGGAUACUGCGGAGCUAGAGUACGGAAGAGGCGAGUGGAAUUCCUGGUGUAGCGGUGGAAUGCGCAGAUAUCAGGAGGAACACCAAUAGCGAAGGCAGCUCGCUGGGACGUUACUGACACUGAGACGCGAAAGCGUGGGGAGCAAACAGG